GCUGUGUGCAGUCAGGCUGGUGACCUGGAU
rnacentral:piRNA from 1 species